rnacentral:rRNA from 1 species
GCAGGCUGCAACUCGCCUGCACGAAGUCGGAAUUGCUAGUAAUCGUAGGUCAGCAUACUACGGUGAAUACGUUCCCGGGCCUUGUACACACCACCCGUCACACCAUGGGAGUCGGAAAUGCCCGAAGUCAGUGACCCAACCGUAAGGAGGGAGCUGCCGAAGGUGGAGCCGGUAACUGGGGUGAAGUCGUAACAAGGUAAC